CGUAGGGUGCGAGCGUUAAUCGGAAUUACUGGGCGUAAAGCGUACGCAGGCGGUUAUAUAAGACAGAUGUGAAAUCCCCGGGCUCAACCUGGGAACUGCAUUUGUGACUGUAUAGCUAGAGUACGGCAGAGGGGGAUGGAAUUCCGCGUGUAGCAGUGAAAUGCGUAGAUAUGCGGAGGAACACCGAUGGCGAAGGCAAUCCCCUGGGCCUGUACUGACGCUCAUGCACGAAAGCGUGGGGAGCAAACAGGAUUAGAUACCCUGGUAGUCCACGCCCUAAACGAUGUCAACUGGUUGUUGGGUCUUCACUGACUCAGUAACGAAGCUAACGCGUGAAGUUGACCGCCUGGGGAGUACGGCCGCAAGGUUG
rnacentral:rRNA from 1 species